rnacentral:rRNA from 1 species
UACGUAGGGGGCUAGCGUUGUCCGGAAUCAUUGGGCGUAAAGCGCGCGUAGGCGGCUCGGUAAGUCCGCUGUGAAAGUCGGGGGCUCAACCCUCGAAUGCCGGUGGAUACUGUCGGGCUAGAGUACGGAAGAGGCGAGUGGAAUUCCUGGUGUAGCGGUGAAAUGCGCAGAUAUCAGGAGGAACACCCAUUGCGAAGGCAGCGCGCUGGGACGUUACUGACGCUGAGACGCGAAAGCGUGGGGAGCAAACAGG